CCUACGGGAGGCUGCAGUGAGGAAUCUUGGUCAAUGGGCGCGAGCCUGAACCAGCCAAGUAGCGUGAAGGAUGACUGCCCUACGGGUUGUAAACUUCUUUUAUAAAGGAAUAAAGUGAGGCACGUUUGCCUUUUUGGAUGUACUUUAUGAAUAAGGAUCGGCUCACUCCGUGCGAGCAGCCGCGGUAAUACGGAGGCUCCGAGCGUUAUCCGGAUUUAUUUGGUUUAAAGGGAGAGUAGAUGGGUUGUUAAGUCAGUUGUGAAAGUUUGCGGCUCAACCGUAAAAUUGCAAUUGAUACUGGCAGUCUUGAGUACAGUUGAGGUAGGCGGAAUUCGUGGUGUAGCGGUGAAAUGCUUAGAUAUCACGAAGAACUCCGAUUGCGAAGGCAGCUUACUAAACUGCCACUGACAUUGAUGCUCGAAAGUGUGGGUAUCAAACAGGAUUAGAUACCCGGGUAGUC
rnacentral:rRNA from 1 species